UGAAAGUGUCUUAACUUUGGAUUUUUUGUUUAUUUUUGUUUUAAAUGUGAGUUUUUGCGAGAGAAUAUUUAUUUUUAAAUAAAAAUUUUGUUAAAGUUGCAUUAGAUAUUUUUAUUUUUUUUUUGUUAAGUCAAGAGAUAGUAAAAAAUUAAAAGUGUAAACAAAAUUUGUGCCAGCAGUUGCGGUUAUACAGAUUAUGCAAUUAAAAGUUUUUGGGUUUGGUUAAAAGUUUUUUAUGAUUUAAAAAAAAAAUUUAUUGAGUGAAAUUUUAAAUUUUAUAAAUUUUUUUUAUUGAGGCCAAGAAAUUUUAUUUUAAAACUAGGAUUAGAUACCCUAUUAUUAAAGUGUAAGUUUAUACCUUUAUUAGUAUUAGCUAUGUUCUUGAAAAUAAAAGGAAUUGGCGGUGUUUUAGUCUGUUCAGAGGAGCCUGUCUUGUAAUCGAUAGUCCACGUUUAAAUUAAUUUAAUUUAUUAGUUUAUAUAUCGCCGUGGUUGAGUAUCUUUUUAGAGUAUAAUAUUCUUGAUUUAUAGAUAAUUUAUAGCAGGUCAAGAUGUAACUUAUAAUUAAAUAUUGAUGGGCUACAUUUUAUUUAUAAUUUGAUUAAAUUAUUAAGGUAUUUAUAAAAUUGGAUUUGAUAGUAAUGUUUUUUAUAUUUUUAAAAUGAUUUUAGCUCUAAAACAUGCACAUAUCGCCCGUCGCUUUCAUUAUAAAGUGGAAUAAGUCGUAACAAAGUAGGUGUACUGGAAAGUGCCCCUAGAAGCUC
rnacentral:ncRNA from 1 species